CUUUUAUUGUGUGACAUCUCUUCUAACACACAAGAAAUACUACAUUGUGCGUCAAAAUAAAAAAUAUUGCAUCACCAUAAUGUUUACAUCAAGUACUAAUGGAAAUAUAGUACAUGACACAAAAAACCAUCUGGUUGAUAAAAUAUCACAAUAUUCAAAGUACUGCUGUAAAAAAAAACAGCAGAAGAUUAUGCAUAGUUAUCAAUUUGUCCCUCAUAAUGAUGCUUACUCCAGAUCUAAGUUUAACAAAUUAUUUAUUUGAUCGUUAAUUUUUUUAAAGCAAAAAAUCUCCAUAAAAAACAACACUGGUAGCUAUUAAUUAAACAAUAAUAAAAAUUUGAGGAUUAAUUUUCCGGAUAAAUAUCAAAAGUAAGUAAAAAUUGAUUAAGCUUGAAAAAGUACGACAUUUAAAAAAAAACCAUUGCAUUUUUUGUGUAGUAGCAAACAAAUAUUACAUAAAAAUUUCCUCAUUCUGUAUAGGUAAAUCAACAACAUUAUUUAAUCUAUUUUUUUACAUACCAUAUUCAGAUAAAUAUCACAAACAU
rnacentral:lncRNA from 1 species